rnacentral:rRNA from 1 species
AGCGGAGGAAAAGAAACUAACUAGGAUUGCCCCAGUAGCGGCGAGUGAACAGGCAAAAGCUCAAGUUGAAAAUCCAUGGCACAAAGUUAUGGAAUUGUAAUCUAGAGAGGAUUUUCGGAGGGGAUGGUUGUAGCAUAAGUUCCUUGGAACAGGACGUCAAAGAGGGUGAAAACCCCGUAGUCGGCUACUACCGGAUCUAACGAAGGUUUUCGAAGAGUCGGGUUGUUUGGGAUUGCAGCCCUAAAUGGGAGAUAAACUUCUUCUAAAGCUAAAUAUUUAUGGGAAACCGAUAGCGAACAAGUACUGCGAAGGAAAGGUGAAAAGAACUUUGAAAAGAGGGUUAAAAGACUUGAAAUCGUUGAGAAGGAAGUGGUUAAAGAGUAAUCAUUUGUGUACAAUAAAUGUUUUGCUUCCCUGGCUUUGGCGCGCUUUAGUACUUCAUAGGCUGUGCGUGUUAAACGUUAGGUAGCUAGGCUGUCUUUGUAUGCAAGAGGCAACAUGAAGUUUAGUAAUGGGAAUAAACCAGCAGAACGACCCGCAAGGAGUCUGUUGAUGAAACCGUAAUUAAGCUUGAGGGGCCUGAGGGCGAUGUUGUCAAAAUGGCUUUAACUGUCCCGUCUUGAAACACGGUCCAUGGAGUGUAACCUACGCGCAAGUGUUAGGGUGGAAAAACCCGAACGCAUAAGGAAACUAAGGAUAUGUUGUUUACAGCAACAGCGGACCUAGCGUCUUUGACAAAGGGCUCCAGCAAGAGCGAGUAUGUUACGACCCGAAAGAUGAUGAACUUUACUUGAGUAGGGUGAAGCCAGGGGAAACUCUGGUGGAAGCUCGCAAGAUCUUCUGACGUGCAAAUCGAUUUCCAAACUUGAGUAAAGGGGCGAAAGACUAAUCGAAUCAUCUAGUAGCUGGUUCCCUCUGAAGUUUCUCUCAGGAUAGCUGGAACAAACCAAGCAGUUUUAUUAGGUAAAGCGAAUGAUUAGAGGAAUCGGAGCUCAAAGAGUUUUGACCUAUUCUCAAACUUUAAAUUGGUAAGAACCGGGGGUUAACUUAAUUGAACCUCUGGGCAGAAUGCUUGUUCCAAGUGGGCCAUUUUUGGUAAGCAGAACUGGCGAUGAGGGAUGAACCUAACGCUUAGAUAAGGUUCCUAAGUAUGCAUUCAUGAGAUCCCACAAAAGGUGUUGGUUCAUUAACACAGCAGGACAGUGGCCCUG